UCUCCGUUGGUGAACCAGCGGAGGGAUCAUUACCGAGUUUACAACUCCCAAACCCAAUGUGAACCAUACCAAACUGUUGCCUCGGCGGGGUCACGCCCCGGGUGCGUCGCAGCCCCGGAACCAGGCGCCCGCCGGAGGGACCAACCAAACUCUUUCUGUAGUCCCCUCGCGGACGUUAUUUCUUACAGCUCUGAGCAAAAAUUCAAAAUGAAUCAAAACUUUCAACAACGGAUCUCUUGGUUCUGGCAUCGAUGAAGAACGCGGC
rnacentral:misc_RNA from 1 species